rnacentral:rRNA from 1 species
AAACUUUCAACAACGGAUCUCUUGGUUCCGGCAUCGAUGAA